ensembl:lncRNA
GUACAGGUUCAGUAGUGAUAGGACAGGUUCAGUAGUGGUAGGACAGGUUCAGUAGUGAUAGGACAGGUUCAGUAGUGGUAGGACAGGUUCAGUAGUGGUAGGACAGGUUCAGUAGUGGUAGGACAGGUUCAGUAGUGGUAGGACAGGUUCAGUAGUGGUAGGACAGGUUUGGUAGUGGUAGGACAGGUUCAUUAAUGUUUAGCCAUCUGAAAGGAACCCAAACCGUUGCUGGCAGCAGUGCAGUUGCAUUGUGAAUUCACAUGAAAUGUUAUCAAUUUUUCUUAUCAUUAAAAAAUUAAGAAAUGGCUGUUUAAAUGUUAAGAAAAU